AACGAACGCUGGCGGCAUGCCUAACACAUGCAAGUCGAACGAGACCUUCGGGUCUAGUGGCGCACGGGUGCGUAACGCGUGGGAACCUGCACUUAGGUUCGGAAUAACUCCCCGACAGGGGUGCUAAUACCGGAUAAUGUCUUCGGCCCAAAGAUUUAUCGCCUUUGGAUGGGCCCGCGUUGGAUUAGCUAGUUGGUAGGGUAAAAGCCUACCAAGGCGACGAUCCAUAGCUGGUCUGAGAGGAUGAUCAGCCACACUGGGACUGAGACGCGGCCCAGACUCCUACGGGAGGCAGCAGUGGGGAAUAGUGGACAAUGGGCGAAAUCCUGAUCCAGCAAUGCCGCGUGAGUGAUGAAGGCCUUAGGGUUGUAAAGCUCUUUUACCCGGGAUGAUAAUGACAGUACCGGGAGAAUAAGCUCCGGCUAACUCCGUG
rnacentral:rRNA from 1 species